rnacentral:rRNA from 1 species
GGGACCAUCCGGUAAGGCUAAAUACUCCCGAGAGACCGAUAGCGAACCAGUACUGUGAAGGAAAGGUGAAAAGCACUUCGAAUAGAAGAGUGAAAUAGUCCCUGAAACCGUGCGCCUACAAGCGGUCGGAGCUGUGUAAACAGUGACGGCGUGCCUUUUGCAUAAUGAACCUACGAGUUACUUUUUCCGGCAAGGUUAAGGAUCUUGAGAUCCGCAGCCGAAGCGAAAGCGAGUCUUAACAGGGCGAUUAGUCGGAAGGAGUAGACGCGAAACCAAGUGAUCUACCCUUGGUCAGGUUGAAGGUUAGGUAACACUAACUGGAGGACCGAACCGAUAAGCGUUGAAAAGCUUCCGGAUGAACUGAGGGUGGGGGUGAAAGGCUAAUCAAACUUGGAGAUAGCUCGUACUCCCCGAAAUGCAUUUAGGUGCAGCCUUGCGGGUUACUGAUGUGAGGUAGAGCGACUGAUAAGAUGCGAGGGCUUCACCGCCUAUCAAGUCUUGACAAACUCCGAAUGCGCAUCAGUUCUACCGCAGGAGUGAGGGCAUGGGUGCUAAGGUCCGUGCCCGAGAGGAGAAGAAUCCGGACCACCUGCUAAGGUCCCGAAAUGACAGCUAAGUUAAACUAACGAAGUCUGACUGCUAAGACAGCUAGGAUGUUGGCUUGGAAGCAGCCAUUCAUUUAAAGAGUGCGUAACAGCUCACUAGUCGAGGAGUCGGGCGUGGAUAAUAAUCGGGUAUUAAGUUGUCUACCGAAGCAGUGGGAUCAUUAAUAUGAUCGGUAGGGGAGCAUUCCAGUCAGCGUCGAAGGCGUACCGUGAGGUAUUCUGGAGCGUCUGGAAAAGCAAAUGUAGGUAUAAGUAACGAUAAAGGGGGCGGGAAACCCCCUCGCCGAAAGACUAAGGUUUCCUGAUCAACGCUAAUCGGAUCAGGGUCAGUCGGGUCCUAAGGCUCAGCCGAACGGCGAUGCCGAUGGCAGAAACGGUUAAUAUUCCGUUACUACCUUCAGGAGUGACGUGGAGACGCAGUAGUGACAGUGCCGCCAUCUGACGGAAUAGAUGGUUGAAGGGUGUAGGAGUCGAUCAUGGCAGGCAAAUCCACCAUGAGAUCCGAACCUGACAGUAUGCCGCGUCCUUCGGGACAAGGCAAUAGUGCGCGUAAGCAUGCUGCCGAGAAAAUCCGCUAAACUUAAUCCUGCAGGUACCCGUACCGCAAACGGACACACGUAGUCGGGAUGAAUAUUCUAAGGCGCUUGAGUGAUUCACGGUUAAGGAACUAGGCAAACUGACCCUGUAACUUCGGGAUAAAGGGUCCUCAAGCAAUUGAGGCGCAGAGAAUAGGUCCAGGCAACUGUUUAACAAAAACACAGGGCUGUGCAAAAUUGAAAGAUGAAGUAUACAGCCUGACACCUGCCCGGUGCUGGAAGGUUAAGAGGAGACGUCAUCGCAAGAGAAGCGUUGAAUUGAAGCCCCAGUAAACGGCGGCCGUAACUAUAACGGUCCUAAGGUAGCGAAAUUCCUUGUCGGGUAAGUUCCGACCUGCACGAAUGGUGUAAUGAUCUGGACGCUGUCUCAACCGUGAGCUCAGUGAAAUUGUAGUAUCGGUGAAGAUGCCGAUUACCCGCGAUGGGACGAAAAGACCCCGUGAACCUUUACUAUAGCUUAUCAUUGAAUCUGGGCACGUGAUGUGUAGGAUAGGUCGGAGGCUUUGAAGCAGGUACGCCAGUAUUUGUGGAGCCGCUGUUGAAAUACGACCCUUUAUUUGUUUGGAUUCUAACCCGUGGAUACGGGGACAUUGAUUGGUGGGUAGUUUGACUGGGGUGGUCGCCUCCAAAAGCGUAACGGAGGCUUCUAAAGGUGCCCUCCGGCCGAUUGGUAACCGGCCUUAGAGUGUAAUGGCAUAAGGGCGCUUGACUGGGAGACUAACAAGUCGAUCAGGUAGGAAACUAGAGCAUAGUGAUCCGGUGUUUCCGUAUGGAAGGGACAUCGCUCAAAGGAUAAAAGGUACUCCGGGGAUAACAGGCUGAUCCCUCCCAAGAGCUCAUAUCGACGGAGGGGUUUGGCACCUCGAUGUCGGCUCGUCACAUCCUGGGGCUGGAGAAGGUCCCAAGGGUUGGGCUGUUCGCCCAUUAAAGUGGCACGCGAGCUGGGUUCAGAACGUCGUGAGACAGUUCGGUCUCUAUCUAUCGUGGGCGUAUGAAAUUUGCGUGGCUCUGACACUAGUACGAGAGGACCGUGUUGGACAGACCUCUGGUUUGCCGGUUGUGCCGCCAGGUGCAUUGCCGGGUAUCUAAGUCUGGAUCGGAUAAGUGCUGAAAGCAUCUAAGUACGAAGCCGGCCACAAGAUUAGAUUUCUCAGGGUCGUUGUAGACUACGACGUUGAUAGGAUGCAGGUGUAAAGAUGGAGACAUCAAAGCCGAGCAUUACUAAUUGCCCGUCCACUUUCCU